CAACUACUCCCUCUGUCCCAAAUUUCUUGUCUUAUAUUUUUCUAGAUACGGAUGUACCUAAUACUAAAAUGUGACUUGAUACAUCUGUAUCUAGACAAAUCUAAGACAAGAAUUUUGGGACGGAGGGAGUACUUU
rnacentral:pre_miRNA from 1 species